rnacentral:misc_RNA from 1 species
GAUGAAGAACGCAGCGAAAUGCGAUAAGUAAUGUGAAUUGCAGAAUUCAGUGAAUCAUCGAAUCUUUGAACGCACCUUGCGCCCUUUGGCUAUUCUGAAGGGCAUGCCUGUUUGAGUAUCAUGAACACCUCAACUCUCAUGGUUCGCCAUGAUGAGCUUGGACUUUGGGGGUCUUGCUGGCCUACGGUCGGCUCCUCUCAAAUGAAUCAGCUUGCCAGUGUUUGGUAGAGUCGCAGGUGUGAUAACUAUCUACGCUUGUGGUUUUCUGCCAGAUAACCUUCAGUGAUGGAGGUUCGCUGGAGCUUAUAAAUGUCUCUCCCCAGUGAGGACAGCUUUUUGAACGUUUGAUCUCAAAUCAGGUAGGACUACCCGCUGAACUUAAGCAUAUCAAUAGCGGAGGA